CAUAAUUAAUAACAUUCUUCCAUGUAAACAAAAUGAAAUGUAAAGCAUGUCUUGUCUGUGUACUGGAGACUACUGGAGUGUGCAGGAGGUUUUUGUACGGCUGCUUAAUGAGUCUGUAUCACUGUGGCUCACUUUUGGUGGAGGAACCAGACUGGCAGUUGGAACUGAUGCGCGUCCCAGCCUGACGCUGCUUCCCCCCUCCAGUGUGGAGCUGCAGCAGGGGAAGGCCACCCUGGUGUGCCUGGCCACCAAGGGCUUCCCCUGGGACUGGAGGCUGAGCUGGAAGGUGUCCGGGAGCAGCAGCCGCUGGGAGGGGAGCCAGAGCCCUGCGCUCCUGGAGAAGGACGGCCUCUACAGCUGGAGCAGCAGCCUCACCCUCACCCAGGAGCAGUGGAGGAAGGCGCCAGCCGUCACCUGUGAGGCCACCCAGGGCACCCAGGAACCCGUCACCCAGGACAUCAAGACGGGAGACUGCGCCCAGUAGAGACGCAGCACACAAACACACGCUUACAGAGAGAGACGCAGCCACACAGACAUGCUUAGACAAAGAGAGAGAGGGAGAGUGAGAGAGACACACAUACACACAAACACACGCUGACAAAGAGAGAGUGUAUUGCUUAAUAAAAAAUCAAGAUAUGCUUUGUUGUUAAAAUUUAGCUGAUGUGUUUCUGAUCUGUGUGUAUCUUCAGCGCUUUAUGUGAAACACUGUUGAAAAAUAAAGAAUCUGAG